rnacentral:rRNA from 1 species
CAAAAACAUUUUUUAAUGAAAUCACAUUAAAUAAAACCUGCUCAUUGUAAAAUAAAUAGCCGCAGAAAAUUUACUGUGCUAAGGUAGCAUAAUCACUUGUCUUAUAAUUCAAGACUAGAAUGAAAGGUUCCACACUUAAUUUAAUUUUUUAAAUAUGUUAUUUUAAUUUUUAAUAAAAAUAAAAAUAUUUUUAUUUAUAUAAAAGACGACAAGACCCUUUUGAACUUAACUGAAGUUAGGCUGGGGAAGCCUAAUAAUAAUAAUCUUAAUAUAAUCAAUUCUGUAAAUAGCCAUUAAUAGAACUAUAAUCAAGUUACCAAAGGGAUAACAGCGUAAUACU